CGGGGACGAUAAUGACGGUACCCGCAGAAUAAGCCCCGGCUAACUUCGUGCCAGCAGCCGCGGUAAUACGAAGGGGGCUAGCGUUGUUCGGAAUCACUGGGCGUAAAGGGCGCGUAGGCGGUUUGUACAGUCGGGCGUGAAAUUCCUGGGCUCAACCUGGGGGCUGCGUUCGAUACGUGCGGACUUGAGUUCGGAAGAGGGUCGUGGAAUUCCCAGUGUAGAGGUGAAAUUCGUAGAUAUUGGGAAGAACACCGGUGGCGAAGGCGGCGACCUGGUCCGAUACUGACGCUGAGGCGCGAAAGCGUGGGGAGCAAACAGGAUUAGAUACCCUGGUAGUCCACGCCGUAAACGAUGUGUGCUGGAUGUUGGGUGACCUAGUCACUCAGUGUCGUAGCUAACGCGAUAAGCACACCGCCUGGGGAGUACGGCCGCGAGGUUG
rnacentral:rRNA from 1 species